rnacentral:rRNA from 1 species
GAUGAACGCUGGCGGCGUGCCUAAUACAUGCAGGUCGAGCGAACGGACGAGAAGCUUGCUUUUCUGAUGUUAGCGGCGGACGGGUGAGUAACACGUGGAUAACCUACCUAUAAGACUGGGAUAACUUCGGGAAACCGGAGCUAAUACCGGAUAAUAUUUUGAACCGCAUGGUUCAAAAGUGAAAGACGGUCUUGCUGUCACUUAUAGAUGGAUCCGCGCUGCAUUAGCUAGUUGGUAAGGUAACGGCUUACCAAGGCAACGAUGCAUAGCCGACCUGAGAGGGUGAUCGGCCACACUGGAACUGAGACACGGUCCAGACUCCUACGGGAGGCAGCAGUAGGGAAUCUUCCGCAAUGGGCGAAAGCCUGACGGAGCAACGCCGCGUGAGUGAUGAAGGUCUUCGGAUCGUAAAAUUCUGUUAUUAGGGAAGAACAUAUGUGUAAGUAACUGUGCACAUCUUGACGGUACCUAAUCAGAAAGCCACGGCUAACUACGUG